CGGGGCGUAGCUCAGCCUGGCUAGAGCGCUACGUUCGGGACGUAGAGGUCGCACGUUCAAAUCGUGUCGCCCCGA
rnacentral:tRNA from 3 species